AUCCAGCUGUACACUUUUAUGCCAGUUGCCAGUUUGGACGAGGAAAACAAAGACAUACAUGGAUGUUUUUGUCUACGAGUGGAUACGUUGGAAUGGAGCAGUGAGCUUGUGGCUCACUGACUGUAGCACCUUCAUCACUACUACAGGCUUUUUCUAACUGUCUCAUUUUGUCUGACCUUGAGUCACAACGAUUAAAAAAAAAAAAAAGUCAUGUAUGUUUGAUGUUGAUUCAUGUUUGAGGUAAUUUUCUCUAUGAAUGCGCUUUAAUCGUGAGAAAAAUGCUGCAAGAACAUGUCAAAAAAACAAUUUUCAUCAGAGUGAGUCUUUAAAUGUUAACCAUUCUGUGAUGAUAUCCAGAAGAAUCUGGUUGAUCCUGACUCUUAGAGUGAAAUGAAUAUGUAAUCCUGGUUUUCACAUCUGUCUGGAAUAUAUUGUGUUAUCGGAUCAGAGGAACGAUUUCAGUCUGUCAUAAAACUGUGCAGCUUCGCUCCCAACUGUUCUGCUUUGACAAACAGACGGAACUUUAAGAACUGUUUUCUGAAACGCAUAACUGCUGGUAGAUAAUAAAAGUCAGAGUGAGAAGUUUGCCUCUUCUUCGUUGUAAUUUGGGAGAAGUGACCGUGUAAAGCCAUAAAGCACACGUACCCCAUGCAGCCUGAGCGGACCUGUGUGCCGCACGGUGGCCCGACUCCACUCUCACUUGUCGGCGGAGCAGAACCAGGAUGACAUUUAAUUCAUCUACUGGAUUAGCAGGACAGCGUGUUGAAAGACCAGCUGACAGAUGCGGCCUCCGCAGCCAAAACAAAAGAUGUCUGAGCUGCAGGAACAUGAGGAGAGGAUCUCUGCUGUGAACUCCAAUUCACUAAGCUGCAUUUCCAUAUCAAACAUUAAAGCCGAAAUGCUCAACUCUUAA